rnacentral:rRNA from 1 species
AUUCAUUGUCAGCCGCUUGGGCUUCCCCGCGGAGUGCGAUGAUGAGGGGUUUCGGCUUCGUGUCACGCCUUCGCUGCGGUAUGUACUGGAGCGGUCGGCGUGCACUUCUCCCCUAGUAGGACGUCGCGACCCGUUGGGUGUUGGUCUACGGCCCGGUAGGUCGACUGAUGCGUCGCGUUCACGCGCGUCUCGCGUCAGACCUCUGGAUGCCUGACCGGCUGCCCGGCGGUAUUGAACGAUAAUUAAACGGUAUUGGGCCGCACCAAGUGCGUUCAGGCUCGUCGACAGGCUCACCUCGCUCGGAUUUACGGACCUAGUGCCGUUGCCGGGUGCUUGGUGUGGCUGUUGGUCGACGAUGUCCUCGGACUGGCUCUAUAUAUUCGAACGGAUAUACCGGUCGGCGACGCUUUUGCUUUGGGUACUUUCAGGACCCGUCUUGAAACACGGACCAAGGAGUCUAACAUGUGCGCGAGUCAUUGGGUUGAAACUAAACCUAAAGGCGCAAUGAAAGUGAAGGUCGUUUCUUUGCGUCGACCGAGGGAGGAUGGCUUGCGUCACGAUGUAAGCCCGCACUCCCGGGGUGUGCUACA